rnacentral:rRNA from 1 species
GAUGAACGCUGGCGGCGUGCCUAAUACAUGCCAGUCGAGCGAACGGACGAGAAGCUUGCUUCUCUGAUGUUAGCGGCGGACGGGUGAGUAACACGUGGAUAACCUACCUAUAAGACUGGGAUAACUUCGGGAAACCGGAGCUAAUACCGGAUGAUAUUUUGAACCGCAUGGUUCAAAAGUGAAAGACGGUCUUGCUGUCACUUAUAGAUGGAUCCGCGCUGCAUUAGCUAGUUGGUAAGGUAAUGGCUUACCAAGGCAACGAUGCAUAGCCGACCUGAGAGGGUGAUCGGCCACACUGGAACUGAGACACGGUCCAGACUCCUACGGGAGGCAGCAGUAGGGAAUCUUCCGCAAUGGGCGAAAGCCUGACGGAGCAACGCCGCGUGAGUGAUGAAGGUCUUCGGAUCGUAAAACUCUGUUAUUAGGGAAGAACAUAUGUGUAAGUAACUGUGCACAUCUUGACGGUACCUAAGCAGAAAGCCACGGCUAACUACGU